GAGCGAUUCAUGCCUACGUCAAGCAAACACAAGCCCUGACACCAAGGAGAGAAAUGCUCUAUGCAGACAAGUUAACCUGACAUCCUGUAACAACCUGCUCAGUGCUUACCAGAGUCUUGUAUGCUGCUGCUAUUUGGACUUCUGAUGAAAACAACGUUGAUAACACACAGAUGUGUCAAUUGUUGCUGAGCCACGCUGCACCAGGCCAAGGCCUUUUCAGCUUCUCACGCUGCCUUGCCAGAGUGGAGCUGGGGCUGCACAAGGAGCUGGGAGGGGACAGAACCAGGAAAGCUGACUCAAAAUGGCCAAAGAUAUAUGUCAUACCAUGAGUAUGGGUGGACUGCUCAAUGGACGAAGAACUGGCUGCAGGAUCAAGUCCUGAAAGUGGUGGACAGAGGCUCCAUGUCUGGAUGGAGAUUGGUGACAAGUGGUAUUUCACAGGGGUUGGUGCUGGCGCCGAUACUCUUUAAUAUCUUCAUCAGUGACACUGUCAGUGAGGUUGAGUUCACCCUCAGAAAGUUUGCUGAUGACAGCAAGCUGUGGAGUGCAGUUGAUUUUCAAGGUAAGUCUGGAUAAGGCCCUGGGCAACCCAAUCUAGCUGUGGAUGUUUAUGUUUAUUGUGGGGGAGUUAGACUAGAUGACCUCUAAAGGUCCCUUGCAACUCUAAGGAUUCUAUGAUUCUUUGAUUCUAUGAGUUAGUCUCCUGGGCUCUUCCCCAGUCCUAACAUUGAGAUCACUAAAAUAGUGCUGUGAAAUUCCAACGCUCGAAAAAAUUAUUUACUUCUUCCAAAAUAAGACAUUUGAGAGCUCAUAUAUAUCACAUUUCCAACAGCUAAUACUGAUACUGCAUUAAGUAUAAUUAUAUUGUGUGUCUCAAUUGCACCGAUUCACUCUCAGAUUAAAUAUUUAAUAUAUUCACAGUAAAGUCUAUUCUUCCAAAUUUUGCUUAGUCAUAACUGCAUAGGAAAAAGUUAUAUCAAGAUCAUAUUUAGCCUUACCUACUACGCUUUCAACUAAAACAGCCUAAGGCUCAAAAGAAAAAUAGACAACUAGAAUUUUCUUAUAACAGACAUUCAGUCUUACAAAACCUGAGAAGAAUCAAUAACUUCUAUUCUCUUCCAGUUAUCAAAAUAUUAUAUUUAAAAAAAAAGAAGUCAAGCACUUUUCAGAAACUUUGCUAUAAAAUAUGCUCCUUACAAUAAACAAACAUUACAGGCUGAAAGUGUUCACUCCUCUGUUCAUCAUCAAGAUCAGAAAAGAUAACUUCUGUGAUUAAUACUGCAGUAAUAAAACUGGUACUACUUGAUUUUUGCAUAAAAAAGAACAAACAAGGAUUAAAAUGUAAUUACUGUGUUAGAACUAGAGUAGGAUAAAGUCAAUAUAAUUUUAUAGCUAAUAACUCAAACUAUAAAAUAUGAGGUUGUGACUAUUCUUAAAGAUAUUUGUUAGAAUAUUUCUUAUUGAAGCGUAAAUGGAGUCACUCAUAAUGUACAGAAAACCUAUUUCAAAUAAAAUAUGAAAAGUAAUUGAAAUAUCUUAUUUGAGAUCAAGCAGAGAACUCCAGACAAAUAGGAGCACAAGUAGAAGCACAAACUUCUGAUGCGAUACUUCUCUUAGAGCAAGUGGAUCAGUGUUGCUGGAUCAUAGGAGAGUUUGUGUUCAUAGGGACCUCAGGUGAUGAAAUCUUAAAGCAGGGCUAGCUGUGAGGUCAGACCACGCUGGAGUACUUGAGCACCUGAGAAUGGCGCAGAAGAAGUGGGAAAGAAAAGCACACAGAAACUCAGAGUUGGUUGCGAAGAAUGGAUGCUAUAUAAUGGCUUAAUUCCCUGAAGUAAACAACAGGUUUCCUAGGCUAUGGUGUGGUAGAGACAAGCCCUAAUACUAGAUAAAAAACAAAAUAAGAAUCUUGAAUGAUGGCAUAAUGCUCACCUAGGAAAAGAGGUUAAGGUGUGAACUGCAGAGCACUGCAGUAAAGAAAGAACAUUAAGAUAAAAGAAGGAUAAAAUAAUAAUAAUAAAAUAAUAAUUAGUAGGUGAGAGGAAUUCAAAAAAAUGUUAUGUACUAGUAAAGUUCUCAAUAUCAUUUUCAUACCUGCCAAUCACCACAUUCUCAAUGAUAUGUGGAUUUUCCAAGCUAGUUUGAUAGUGCUUAUCAAACUGUUUUCCCAUCCAGAUCGUCAGGUAGAUAGACGUAUAUAAAUUUGAUUUCAAAAAGAGAAGAGAAUGAAGAAAUAACAGCUAUUGUUAUGCCUGAAGUCAGGUAUCAUCAACAUCAACAAAGCAGUUGCCAUCACUUGAAAUUUUAAAGCACUUCUAUUCCUGAGAUAAUAAAAACUAUUUUCAUAGUUUCAGCUCAGAUUUAUCUUACAAUUUAUUAAAUUGGGAGUGAGAUUGUAUUUAGCCAGUAUUUUUAUUGUUGUUGUUGUUAUUAUUAUUAUUAUUAUUGAAAUGUUAUUGUGAUUCUACAAAAAUAAAGUGCUGUUCAGUUGUUUACUUUCCCAAAUGAGCUGCUGGACUUCUGCUUUAUCUUUUCUGAGCGUGGUAUAAUCAGUAGAGAUAAAGGAACUCUGAGCAUACAAUAUGAAACAGAACAAGCACAUAAAACAGCUACUUUCUAAAACAUGGCCAGACAUAAGUCUAAGAUUUUAAACUCAUGCACAAAGACGUCAGCAGUGUUUUAUGUAGAUGUCACAGAAAAUGCUUAUACAUAUACUUCCAAAAUAAUUUGCUAAAUUGAAUACAUAUCCAUAGCAGAACUUCCAAAAUAGCUGUAAACUCAAUACAAAUAUUUAAACAGAACAGUUCAAUGUGCUUCUGACAGAUGAGUUGAAAACUGAAAUUCUCUCCAAAUCUUCUCAAGAUUCUACAAUUCUUUCUACAAUUCAUGCUACUAUGAAUAACUAAUGCUGUUUUUGGAAUGCUAUUUGUUUCUGAAAUACAAUUCUAUGAAUUGAGCAUUGUUGGAGGUGAUCCGUUGUUGUCCUGUAAAUUCUGCAGUGAAUGAACUGUCAAAGAAAUUGAACUAAAAACACUCACUCACAUACAGGAAUACAACAACAAAAAAGAAAUGGGGGAAACAGGGACCUCAAGAGGAGCAUACUUAGUAUUUUGUUAUAAAUGAAAAGAGUAUAUCAGCACAGCAUAGAACAGCCUAAAGAUUUUGCUCUAACAAGAUCCAAUGUUCCUUAAUGUACAGGUAUAAGAAAAAUGGGUCUAUAUUGAAGAGCUUUCAUUAGAAAGGUCUGCUAACAAAAUCCCGUUUGACUAAACAAAGAAAGCAAACAUCAUUUGAAAAUAAAAGUUUUAUCAUACCAAUUGUUGGAAAAAAGGCCUCAGCUAGAGUGACACAUGCUAGAAUAUUUAACAGAAACAGAAACUUCAUAAAGAAAGAAGCAGCAUUACUUUUAAAAAUACAAUAUUCAGUGUGGCAAGAAGCAUGCUUUGCAGGGAAAAGUUAGGAAGAUGCAUAAUUCCCCCCCACACACAUAUUAAUAUAAAAGUGAAUCACCUCAAAUGACAAAUAAGAAUAAGCAAAGUAGCAAUUGUGUAGUAAAAACAUUUCCUGGAGUAGAAUUAAGGGAAAUUGAUGUACUUUUACAUGACUACCUCAAAGAAUGGAGAGGAGUAUUUGGCAAUACUCCUCCCAUUGCAACACUUAGAAGCUAUUAGUUAAGCUCUGAACUGUAAUUGAAGGACAGGCCUCAUAUGAUCAGAAAACACCCAUAAGCAAAAACAGCUGCAGGGCAAUCAGGAGGAGAGCGGAAGGAAGAGGGCAGUAGAAAGGGCAGGGCGCAGAAAGAGCCAGGCCAGGCCAAGCCACCUCCCCAGUCAGUAUUUAGUAUAGAUAUGGGAUUGCUUAAAAAGUACAGAGCUAGGCAAGUUGUAGUCAUCAUCUUGGACUUCUUAAGGCUAGAACUUGUAAGUGCUGUCACAGCUUUGGGGAGUAUCAUAGAAUCACAGAAUUAGCAAGGUUGGAAAAGACCUACAAGACCAUCCAGUCCAACCAUCCACCUACCACCAAUAUAACCUCAGUAAACCAUGUCUCUCAACACAACAUCUAAACGUUUCUUGAGCACAACUUACUACACUAAUUUACUUAUGAAAGCAUAAUUUUGCCUGCUGAUGUCACUGCAUGGAUGAUGGAUUUGUGAAAAUCUGAGGAUUACAAAGCAUCACAAAAAAACACUUGGCAAGAAGUAUAUCGUAUUCCAGAUUCCCAAAAUCCAGAGUUUAUUUUUGAAUCUAGCAGGAGCAAUAGCUCUUACCAAGCUAGACUUGGGUCCUCCAACCAAUGUGGUUAAGCCAGAGUAUUAUGUAGAAAUAAACAAGGACAUUUCUGAGCAGACCUGGGCAGUUUACUCAAUAAGGAAUGUGCAUCAUCUGUUAAAUUCUAAUCAACAUGUUAUUUUGACCGUGUGCUAAAAGCUGGGAUGAAUUCAAAGAAAUAUUUAUAAAAUCUAGAGAGGUCUGAAAAAAAAAAGAGUAUAAAAGUCUA